CCACUUCCCUGAACCAUCGCUUGGAUGAUGAAGCACAUCGCAGAGUACUGCUUCAUCACCAUUCAGGAAUUGUACCCUUUUAAAUUUCUAUAUGGGUAUGCGCUGCUUUUGACACAGCUUUUGUUGUAAGCAGGCACUAAAAUAGAAGCUUAUAAUUAGCUAUCUGGGGAGGCAAGGGUGUGGUAGAACAGAGCUCAGCAAGAGAAAAGUCAAGGCAGGUCCUGGGGAAACACUGCAUGGAAGAUGAGUAAUACAGAGCCCAAGAGUGGAUUGGCAGGAAGGGUGCAGGACCUAACCCAAUGACAAUGCUCGCAGGAGGAGCCCUCCAGAAGGCAACAGCUCCAAACCUCUUGGUACAAAGGAACUCUCUACGUUUAGUUCUCUCGACAACUACCUACUAUAAGAUGAAGUUUCCAGGAACUCAUGUGAUCAUGAGACUCUGCAGUCACUUCAGGGGGUCUUGUUGGCUGGCUCGGGGGGCUGGUGUCAAGCCCAAGCAGAAGAGCCCUCAGAGCAAGCAGCCCUGCUUCUGUGGAUUCUGGAUGGCAUCAUCAGCAGGCGGGUCCUUCAGAGUACUGGGAGCAGCAUGCAGCCCGACAGAGUUGGCAAACGUGAAUCUACUAGAAGAUUGACAUGGAGAUCGAGUAGGUAUUCUUUUUAUUAAUAUUCCAUCAUCAAACUGUCUUUACAAAUAUCUACCUUCAUUUUGGCUCUUCCCUAGGUGGUAACUAAUACAUCUGACUAGUAAAUCAUGUCUAAUAAAUAGGACUUCAUAAUGUGUUACAUAGCGCUUGAUGCUCAAAUGCAAAUGUCCUGUUUUUUUGGGUUUGUUGUUGUUGUUGUUUUUAAGAGACAGUGUCUUCACUCUGUCACCCAGGCUAAGCUGGAAUGCAGGGGGCCGACCAUAGCUCACUGUACCCUUGAAUGCCUGGGCUCAAGUGAUCCUCCCACCUCAGCCUCCCAAGUAGAUGGGAUUACAGGCACUAGCCACUGCGCCCAGCUGUAUUAGUCUAUUUUCACACUGCUGAUAAAGACAUACCAGAGACUGGGCAAUUUACAAAAGAAAGAGGUUUAUUGGACUUACAGUUCCACAUGGCUGGGGAGGCCUCAUAAUCAUGGAGGAAGGCAAGGAGGAGCAAGUCAUAUCUUACAUGGAUGGCAGCAGGCAAAGAGAGAGAACUUGUGCAGGGGAGCUCCUCUUUAUAAAACUAUCAGAUCUCAUGAGACUUAUUCACUAUCACAAGAACAGCACAGGAAAGGCUUGUCCCCAUGAUUCAAUUAUCUCCCACUUGGUCCCCCCACAACACAUGGGAAUUCAAGAUGAGAUUUGGGUGGGGACACAGCCAAACCAUAUAACCAGCUGAUGCUCAAAUGUUUUUAUUACAUAAGUAAUAUAUUUUAGCUCUUUCUGUGAUGAACCAAUUGUAUAUCCUUAUUUUAAACACUGUCUAGUUUGUAAAUGUUUUGUUUUAGGCAUUAUGCCAGAGAAAUCGUUCCCUGAAACGAAAAUGUUUUAUUUGUAGAAGCGUAUCACAGUCUCUUCAUCAGAAUCUGAUACUUUUAUUUAUGCACAAAUCCAAGCAGGUUAGAAUUUGAAUAAGAAUAGGGAGAGCAUUUUUGAAACAGGUACACUGACUUGGGCAAGAGGUGAGAAAAAGUAAAGGAGAGAGAAAAAUCUAUAUCAAAAGUAGGCAUACCAAAAGGAACAGCUGAAAGUUGAAAACAUUUCUCAGAAGAGAAGGAAAUCUCCCCAUAUUGCCCCCCUCCAUUUCUAUUCCACAGGAGUGAAAGGGUGACAUUUUUGGAUCAAACUUUGUAGAAGCAUGGAAGCCAGCCUCUAGGAGGGCCCCUAAGAUGACUCUUGUCUGGUGGCCUUCAUGCUCUUGUGUAGACCCCUCCCAGUGGAAAUAGGCCUGACCUGUGUAACUGAUAGGAUAUUGUGGAAAUGAUGAAGUGUGACUUCCAAGGCUAGUUCAUAAAAGACAUUGCAGUUUCUGCCCUUGGAUCUGUCUUGGAUCAUUUGAUCUGAGGGAAGCCAGUUGGCAUGUCAUGAAGACAUACAAGCAACCCCAUGAAGAGGCCCAUGUGGUGAGGAACUGAGGCCUCCUGCCAACAUCCAGCAGCAACUUACCAACAGUGAGAGUGAACCACUUAGGAACCGGAUCCUUCAGUUCCAGUCAAGCCUUCAGAUGUCUGCAACCCUGGACAACAUCUUGACUGCAACUUCAUGAAAGACCCUGAGGGAGCCCCAGACCACCUAAGAUUGCCCCAAAUUCUUGACCCACAAACUAUGAGUUAACAAAUAUUCAUCAUUGGCUGGGCAUGGUGGCUUAUACCUGCAAUCCCAGCACUUUGGGAGGCCAAGGUGGGUGAAUCACUUGAGGCCAGGAGUUCGAAACCAGCCUGGCCAAUGUGGUGAAACCCUUUCUCUACAAAAAAUAC
rnacentral:lncRNA from 1 species